AUUGAACGCUGGCGGCAUGCUUUACACAUGCAAGUCGAACGGUAACAGGUUAAGCUGACGAGUGGCGAACGGGUGAGUAAUGCAUCGGAACGUGCCCGGUGGUGGGGGAUAACGCAGCGAAAGCUGCGCUAAUACCGCAUACGAUCUGAGGAUGAAAGCGGGGGGCCGUAAGGCCUAGCGCGAUCGGAGCGGCCGAUGUCAGAUUAGGUAGUUGGUGGGGUAAAGGCUCACCAAGCCAACGAUCUGUAGCUGGUCUGAGAGGACGACCAGCCACACUGGGACUGAGACACGGCCCAGACUCCUACGGGAGGCAGCAGUGGGGAAUUUUGGACAAUGGGCGAAAGCCUGAUCCAGCAAUGCCGCGUGCAGGAAGAAGGCCUUCGGGUUGUAAACUGCUUUUGUACGGAGCGAAAAGGUCUCCUCUAAUACAGGGGGCUCAUGACGGUACCGUAAGAAUAAGCACCGGCUAACUACGUGCCAGCCGCCGCAGUAA
rnacentral:rRNA from 1 species